rnacentral:rRNA from 1 species
CAGUCGCCGCGGGAAUACGUAGGGUGCAAGCGUUAAUCGGAAUUACUGGGCGUAAAGCGUGCGCAGGCGGUUUUGUAAGACAGAGGUGAAAUCCCCGGGCUCAACCUGGGAACUGCCUUUGUGACUGCAAGGCUAGAGUACGGCAGAGGGGGAUGGAAUUCCGCGUGUAGCAGUGAAAUGCGUAGAUAUGCGGAGGAACACCGAUGGCGAAGGCAAUCCCCUGGGCCUGUACUGACGCUCAUGCACGAAAGCGUGGGGAGCAAACAGGAUUAGAUACCCCGGUAGUCCCUGUCUCUUAUAC